UACGUAGGGUGCAAGCGUUGCUCGGAAUUACUGGGCGUAAAGGGCGCGUAGGCGGCCCUCUAAGUCAGACGUGAAAUCCCCGGGCUCAACCCGGGAACUGCGUCUGAUACUGGAGGGCUUGAAUCCGGGAGAGGGAUGUGGAAUUCCAGGUGUAGCGGUGAAAUGCGUAGAUAUCUGGAGGAACACCGGUGGUGAAGGCGGCAUCCUGGACCGGUAUUGACGCUGAGGCGCGAAAGCCAGGGGAGCAAACGGG
rnacentral:rRNA from 1 species